UACGAAGGGGGCUAGCGUUGCUCGGAAUCACUGGGCGUAAAGCGCAUGUAGGCGGAUUGCUAAGUCAGGGGUGAAAUCCUGGAGCUCAACUCCAGAACUGCCUUUGAUACUGGCGAUCUUGAGUCCGGGAGAGGUGAGUGGAACUGCGAGUGUAGAGGUGAAAUUCGUAGAUAUUCGCAAGAACACCAGUGGCGAAGGCGGCUCACUGGCCCGAUACUGACGCUGAGGUGCGAAAGCGUGGGGAGCAAACAGG
rnacentral:rRNA from 1 species